UACGGAGGGUGCAAGCGUUAAUCGGAAUUACUGGGCGUAAAGCGCACGCAGGUGGCUGAGUCAGUCGAUUGUGAAAGCCCUGGGCUUAACCUGGGAAUUGCAGUCGAUACUACUCAGCUAGAGUAUGGGAGAGGGCAGUGGAAUUCCCGGUGUAGCGGUGGAAUGCGUAGAGAUCCGGAAGAACACCGGUGGCGAAGGCGGCCUGCUGGGCAGUAGCUGACGCUGAUGCGCGACAGCGUGGGGAGCAAACAGG
rnacentral:rRNA from 1 species